rnacentral:lncRNA from 1 species
AAGGUUUUUAUUUUUUAUUUUUUUAUUAUCUAGAAUUGAUUUUAUUCAAAUUUAUUGUUCAAUUUACAUAUAUAUAAAUGUAUAUAAACAUAAAUCACUUCAGGUCACUUUUACCUAGAAUCAGAGAAUCUACUUUUUAUCACUAAAAACCAAAAAACACCAAAUUAUGUUCAAAUAAUUUUCAUACUUGAUUUAAUUUGGGACCGUUUGGAUGUACUAAGUUUCCCUAAUAAAGAGGUAACAAAUUGUUUGGUAUUGGUUAAUGGUUAAUGAAAUUGGAAUGUAGGGUUUGUUGUGGUCCACACAGUGUGAGGAAUAAGUGCCACAAUACUAAUUUUGGUUACAGGGUACCCACCAAGGCACCACCACCUCCAACUAUAGCCUUUUUGAUGUGCGCGUGUUGAUUUUUUUUAAUACUAUGGUUGAGGGACAUAAUUGUGUAGUUGAAAAAUAAAUAAAAAGUGAUGUACCAUAAACUAUUGGGUAAUGGAUAUAAUUAAUUCAUAAACACAACACAAAUAUUGAAAUUACUCAAGAAAAAAUUGCAGAUCUAGAACUUUUGAGGAGGAGGAUGUAAGAAAUCAUCCUCAUUUUAUAUUUGGAAGCCUAUCAUUCAACAAUCUUGUGAUAAUUAAUAGACUUUGUUUUAUGAUUUGUAGAUGUGAUUAUUAAGAGCACAUGUUAGGUACUGAGGAAUUGUGAAUAAUCAAUACUUAAGGAAAUGAAAAUAUGCUAAAUUGCUAGAAAAUAUAUUCAAUUGGCAAUGGUAUUGAUGAGUAAUCUAUGAUGGCCACAUGACUAACAAAAAGAGCUAUUAUAAUUUUAACAAUCUAGUAAUAAUUAUAAGAAAAAACAAAAACUAAGGGCCCAUUUAAACAUUUCCUAUUUUCAUUUUUGUUCAUUUUAUGAUAAAAGAUUAUAGGCUAUCCUAUAAGUCUUAUUUCAGCUAAUAAAAUAUCGAAAUUGUUAGGUUGGAUGACGUGAUUGAGAUUUAAACCUUAACUCCGCUACUUUUAUGUAUGUGAGUUUCAAUGAUUAUUUG